rnacentral:rRNA from 1 species
CAGUAGCCGCGGUAAUACGAAGGGGGCUAGCGUUGUUCGGAAUUACUGGGCGUAAAGCGCACGUAGGCGGAUAUUUAAGUCGGGGGUGAAAUCCCGCAGCUCAACUGCGGAACUGCCUUUGAUACUGGGUAUCUUGAGUAUGGAAGAGGUUAGUGGAAUUGCGAGUGUAGAGGUGAAAUUCGUAGAUAUUCGCAGGAACACCAGUGGCGAAGGCGGCUAACUGGUCCAUAACUGACGCUGAGGUGCGAAAGCGUGGGGAGCAAACAGGAUUAGAUACCCCUGUAGUCCCUGUCUCUUAUAA